rnacentral:rRNA from 1 species
AUUGAACGCUGGCGGCAUGCUUUACACAUGCAAGUCGAACGGUAACAGGCCGCAGGGUGCUGACGAGUGGCGAACGGGUGAGUAAUGCAUCGGAACGUGCCCAGUCGUGGGGGAUAACGCAGCGAAAGCUGCGCUAAUACCGCAUACGAUCUAUGGAUGAAAGCGGGGGACCGAAAGGCCUCGCGCGAUUGGAGCGGCCGAUGUCAGAUUAGGUAGUUGGUGGGGUAAAGGCUCACCAAGCCAACGAUCUGUAGCUGGUCUGAGAGGACGACCAGCCACACUGGGACUGAGACACGGCCCAGACUCCUACGGGAGGCAGCAGUGGGGAAUUUUGGACAAUGGGCGCAAGCCUGAUCCAGCAAUGCCGCGUGCAGGAAGAAGGCCUUCGGGUUGUAAACUGCUUUUGUACGGAACGAAACGGUCCGGGCUAAUACCCUGGGCUAAUGACGGUACCGUAAGAAUAAGCACCGGCUAACUACGUGCCAGCCGCCGCGGUAACAC